rnacentral:lncRNA from 1 species
GGGCGCAUUUCAUUUGCGCCAAUUUUUAAAAAAUCAAACCUUUCAUUUGCGCCACAAGGUUAUAUAUCAUUUGCGCCAAAAAAAAACAACCUUCAUUUGCGCCAUUUUACAGGUAUGACAGGUAAUAUAACGGAAAAGUUAAAUAUUAUUUACGAUUUAUUUUGUUUUUUGUUUGUACAUAACUCCCCCUGGAUAUAUGUGUGAGUUCAUACUCAUUUCUAAUACAAAACUGAGAGUCACUAAGGUUAUAAUUAUAUAUAUAGUGUUCACAUGACCAGUCCAGUGUGAGGUGUCAAGAUGGACAUAGUCAAAUCUGAGACAAACAGAGGAAAGAAUUCUGUGAUAUUUGAUGACCACAUAUAUAGGUUAUCAAAUGUUUUAAAAAAUGGAGACAAAUCCUUCAGGUGUACCAAAAAAAACCUGUAAAGCCAGGAUUACGACUGAUGCGGACAGCAAAACAAUUAUAAAAACUUUAAACGAGCACAACCAUGGAGUAAAACCAGCAGAAAGUAGAAUCUCAACAACUCAGAGUCCGAGUUCGGAAAGCAUCUGGUGAUAUAACUGCAAGACCUUCAAAGAUAAUACGCACAGAACUACAAGG